rnacentral:rRNA from 1 species
AUUGAACGCUGGCGGCAUGCUUUACACGUGCAAGUCGAACGGCAGCGCGGGCUUCGGCCUGGCGGCGAGUGGCGAACGGGUGAGUAAUACAUCGGAACGUGCCCAGUAGUGGGGGAUAGCUCGGCGAAAGCCGGAUUAAUACCGCAUACGACCUGAGGGUGAAAGCGGGGGAUCCUCGGACCUCGCGCUAUUGGAGCGGCCGAUGGCAGAUUAGCUAGUUGGUGGGGUAAAGGCCUACCAAGGCGACGAUCUGUAGCUGGUCUGAGAGGACGACCAGCCACACUGGGACUGAGACACGGCCCAGACUCCUACGGGAGGCAGCAGUGGGGAAUUUUGGACAAUGGGCGAAAGCCUGAUCCAGCAAUGCCGCGUGUGUGAUGAAGGCCUUCGGGUUGUAAAGCACUUUUGGCGGGAACGAAAAGGACUGUGCCAAUACCACGGUUCGAUGACGGUACCCGCAGAAUAAGCACCGGCUAACUACGUG